UAGAGUUUGAUCCUGGCUCAGAGCGAACGCUGGCGGCAGGCCUAACACAUGCAAGUCGAACGAACUCUUCGGAGUUAGUGGCGGACGGGUGAGUAACACGUGGGAACGUGCCUUUAGGUUCGGAAUAACUCAGGGAAACUUGUGCUAAUACCGAAUGUGCCCUUCGGGGGAAAGAUUUAUCGCCUUUAGAGCGGCCCGCGUCUGAUUAGCUAGUUGGUGAGGUAAAGGCUCACCAAGGCGACGAUCAGUAGCUGGUCUGAGAGGAUGAUCAGCCACAUUGGGACUGAGACACGGCCCAAACUCCUACGGGAGGCAGCAGUGGGGAAUCUUGCGCAAUGGGCGAAAGCCUGACGCAGCCAUGCCGCGUGAAUGAUGAAGGUCUUAGGAUUGUAAAAUUCUUUCACCGGGGACGAUAAUGACGGUACCCGGAGAAGAAGCCCCGGCUAACUUCGUGCCAGCAGCCGCGGUAAUACGAAGGGGGCUAGCGUUGCUCGGAAUUACUGGGCGUAAAGGGAGCGUAGGCGGACAUUUAAGUCAGGGGUGAAAUCCCGGGGCUCAACCUCGGAAUUGCCUUUGAUACUGGGUGUCUUGAGUAUGAGAGAGGUGUGUGGAACUCCGAGUGUAGAGGUGAAAUUCGUAGAUAUUCGGAAGAACACCAGUGGCGAAGGCGACACACUGGCUCAUUACUGACGCUGAGGCUCGAAAGCGUGGGGAGCAAACAGGAUUAGAUACCCUGGUAGUCCACGCCGUAAACGAUGAUUGCUAGUUGUCGGGAUGCAUGCAUUUCGGUGACGCAGCUAACGCAUUAAGCAAUCCGCCUGGGGAGUACGGUCGCAAGAUUAAAACUCAAAGGAAUUGACGGGGGCCCGCACAAGCGGUGGAGCAUGUGGUUUA
rnacentral:rRNA from 1 species